rnacentral:tRNA from 1 species
ACAAAGUGGCCGAGGUUAUAGGCGGUAGAUUGUAAAUUUAUAGACAAGUUUAGACUUCUUUGUUAG